CUGGAUAAGCACAAGUGAGGUAGAAUUUCAAGGUUCUCAUAAUACUUUAUUUUUUCUUGGUACACAAUGGUGAAAAAGCAGGGCCAGUCCUAGAGUUCCCUAUGGGUUAAAUAUCUUGUAUAGUCAUUUGUUCAGGAAGCCAGAGGCCUUGCUGCUGGACCAAGAUUAGUCCAAAGGUUAUCUGGUUUUGGGGACCAUCGAUCUGCAGACAAUGUGGCAAGAGUGGUAGAGGAAGAGCUUGCACAUGCCUCUAUGGUUUGUAUUGAUUUCUCAAAGAAUGCCAAGUGAUGGGUCGUGAACCAAGCAAUACUUUCCAAGACUUGAUAAAGGAGUACGACGUUGUACUGAAGGGUCCAUUCAACUACACGGCUCGUGAUGAAGCUG